rnacentral:rRNA from 1 species
AUUGAACGCUGGCGGCAUGCCUUACACAUGCAAGUCGAACGGUAACGGGUCCUUUGGGAUGCCGACGAGUGGCGAACGGGUGAGUAAUAUAUCGGAACGUGCCCAGUAGUGGGGGAUAACUGCUCGAAAGAGCAGCUAAUACCGCAUACGACCUGAGGGUGAAAGGGGGGGAUCGCAAGACCUCUCGCUAUUGGAGCGGCCGAUAUCAGAUUAGCUAGUUGGUGGGGUAAAGGCCUACCAAGGCAACGAUCUGUAGUUGGUCUGAGAGGACGACCAGCCACACUGGGACUGAGACACGGCCCAGACUCCUACGGGAGGCAGCAGUGGGGAAUUUUGGACAAUGGGCGCAAGCCUGAUCCAGCAAUGCCGCGUGCAGGAAGAAGGCCUUCGGGUUGUAAACUGCUUUUGUACGGAACGAAAAGGCUCUGGUUAAUACCUGGGGCUCAUGACGGUACCGUAAGAAUAAGCACCGGCUAACUACGUG